UGGUUCUGGCAUCGAUGAAGAACGCAGCGAAAUGCGAUAAGUAAUGUGAAUUGCAGAAUUCAGUGAAUCAUCGAAUCUUUGAACGCACAUUGCGCCCCUGGGUAUUCCUAGGGGCAUGCCUGUUCGAGCGUCAUUUCAACCCUCAAGCUCAGCUUGGUCUUGGGCCAUGCCGGAAACGGCCGGCCUUAAAACUAGUGGCGGUGCCGCCGGGCUCUACGCGUAGUAACUAUAUCUCGCGUCUGGGUCCCGGCGGACGCUGGCCAGCAACCCUCAAUUUUUUUCUGGUUGACCUCGGAUCAGGUAGGGAUACCCGCUGA
rnacentral:misc_RNA from 1 species